rnacentral:rRNA from 1 species
UACGUAGGGGGCAAGCGUUGUCCGGAAUCAUUGGGCGUAAAGAGCGUGUAGGUGGCUCGGUAAGUCCGCUGUGAAAGUCCAGGGCUCAACCCCUGGAAAGCCGGUGGAAACUGUCGAGCUCGAGUCCGGAAGAGGCGAGUGGAAUUCCUGGUGUAGCGGUGAAAUGCGCAGAUAUCAGGAGGAACACCAAUGGCGAAGGCAGCUCGCUGGGACGGUACUGACACUGAGACGCGAAACGUGGGGGAGCAAACAGG